GGCCGCCUGGCGAAAUGGCAUCGCGUCUGACUACGAUAAAUGUCCACAACAUGUUUAAUCAGGAGAUUGCAGGUUCGACCCCUGCGGUGGUCA